rnacentral:rRNA from 1 species
AAGUCGAACGGUAACAUUUCUAGCUUGCUAGAAGAUGACGAGUGGCGGACGGGUGAGUAAUGCUUGGGAACUUGCCUUUGCGAGGGGGAUAACAGUUGGAAACGACUGCUAAUACCGCAUAAUGUCUUCGGACCAAACGGGGCUUAGGCUCCGGCGCAAAGAGAGGCCCAAGUGAGAUUAGCUAGUUGGUAAGGUAACGGCUUACCAAGGCGACGAUCUCUAGCUGUUCUGAGAGGAAGAUCAGCCACACUGGGACUGAGACACGGCCCAGACUCCUACGGGAGGCAGCAGUGGGGAAUAUUGCACAAUGGGGGAAACCCUGAUGCAGCCAUGCCGCGUGUGUGAAGAAGGCCUUCGGGUUGUAAAGCACUUUCAGUUGUGAGGAAAAGUUAGUAGUUAAUACCUGCUAGCCGUGACGUUAACAACAGAAGAAGCACCGGCUAACUCCGUGCCAGCAGCCGCGGUAAUACGGAGGGUGCGAGCGUUAAUCGGAAUUACUGGGCGUAAAGCGCACGCAGGCGGUUUGUUAAGCUAGAUGUGAAAGCCCCGGGCUCAACCUGGGAUGGUCAUUUAGAACUGGCAGACUAGAGUCUUGGAGAGGGGAGUGGAAUUCCAGGUGUAGCGGUGAAAUGCGUAGAUAUCUGGAGGAACAUCAGUGGCGAAGGCGACUCCCUGGCCAAAGACUGACGCUCAUGUGCGAAAGUGUGGGUAGCGAACAGGAUUAGAUACCCUGGUAGUCCACACCGUAAACGCUGUCUACUAGCUGUGUGUGUCUUUAAGACGUGCGUAGCGAAGCUAACGCGCUAAGUAGACCGCCUGGGGAGUACGGCCGCAAGGUUAAAACUCAAAU